rnacentral:misc_RNA from 1 species
AAGUCGUAACAAGGUUUCCGUAGGUGAACCUGCGGAAGGAUCAUUAACACUUUUCUUUACUAUCAAUACCUUUGUGCACUGACGACCCUUUUUUUACGGGGGCCGACUAGGGAAUGGUUGAAUGCGCCCUAGCCUGCUGCAGAAGUCAGCCCGUCAAUCGGACUAUCAUUAUGAUUCAAUCGUAGUGAUCUGAUCGAACGACGACCGGUCUGACGCUCCGUACUGGAAGGUGAUACAGCCUCGACCAUGGCUGGACCCCAUUUUUUUUCUCAAACCUUUUUGAUAUUUGUACUGAUUUGGGCUAUUGGAUCGAGAGGAGUCGAAUCCUUUCUCUGGUAGCUUUUGAUAGAUCUUCGUGUCUAUUCAAUAAACCAAAACACAACUCUUAACAGCGGAUAUCUCGGUUCUC